GGUAGCCAAAGUUGUAAUUAAUCUCAGGACCUGUAAGUACUGGAGCCUCCAUCUGUGGUGACUGGUUGCUUGCCAGCUGUGGCUAAUGAUAAGGUGCUGAGAAGGAUAGAAGCAGUUUUGUGGAUGGAGCUUUGUGAAUCUCAGCUAAAAGUUACUGGUGAAGUUAAUUGCAAAUGAGGUGUUUACUAACUGGAGGUGAGAACACCAUCUGCAAUUACAUCUAUCAAGUACAGAGAGGAGCUUUAGAGCUGAGCAAAUAAUGUUUAUGGCUUACCUAUUCCCAGGGAAUACAUGGCGCUGCUUCCGUAUGUGCAACUCUGCCUGCUCUCCUGAAAUCCAUUUGGGAAGAUAAGUGAAUCAUUUCUCAUCAGGCUACAAGAAUUUCAAAACUUCUCUCCAGGGUUCCUUCGACACUCCUCUGCGCACAUCUUAAUUUCCUGUAACUGUCCUAAUCCACUUCCCAUAGGUACCCAUGGGAGCCUUGUUAUCGACCUCAACUGGAAAAAGGAUUGCUUCUCUCCCUCGUUAUAACUGCUAUUAACUGGCACAGUUCUUCUCUGCCUCCAUCACAGGGGCCAUUAACAUAAUAGGUCAGAGAAAGCUAGCUCUGCCUGUGCCCCUCAAAGGGUCCCUGCAGAGCAGGGAAGAGAAGUGCUGUGCAAGAGGAGCUGCUCUUGCCACCUGGGUGUGCUGAGACUGGGGGCUGUCAGCCAGGGUGCCCUUCACCAGUAUUUACACCUGCAUGCCUCGGAGAGUGAUAUGGGUGACAGGCUGGAAACUUCCCCAGAUUGAAGCUCUUUAAUUGCCUGUUCCUGAAGCAGCCUCUGGGGUGAAGCAGUGCUCGGCUGCUUGUUACCUGCCUGGCCUCCAUAGGCUCCCUGCAGAGCUGGUGGUCAAUGGAGAUGCUGAAUUGCCCUUGGAGCUCACCUUUCUCUGUUCCUUUCCCAGAGUAACAAGGUAUGAGAACUGGGGAGAGCUGCCAAUUUAAACGGUACCCUCCCUCCUGCAGUGGCAUGACAGAGCACGCUGACGGCUUAUCUUCUGCUGCAGCGCUGGGAAUGCCUGGAUUUCAGGCCGGAGUACAAGCAGGGGGCCUGGAAGCAGACUUAGUGGAGAACAUACAAGGACAGUAGUGUCCCAUGUGCUUGUUCUAGGAGCGAGGUGCAGGUUCUGUAGGAAGAUCCUGGGAUAGCUGGGGCACCUGAAAACCCCAGAGAAGUUUAAGCUACUUCAACUAGAUGCAUAUAAGACAAGAGGUUGGUGCGGCACAAGACUGCCAGGGCCUUGGACUGACCACUGGAAGGUGUUUCAGAUGAUCAUGCCCUCAGUGGAGACCCUUUCCUUCUGAAAAGCAGCCCCUUUCCUCUGUGACCCCGGAGGCAGGAUGAUGCUGCUUCUCCUGUGCCCAGGCUCUCAUGUUUGCAGUACCUUGAGCUAGUCCUUGCAUGAGGCAUUUGAGGUGGGAGGGCAGGGCUAAGACAUAGUCCUGCCCUGUGUAGCCUGCCAGUUACAGCUGCUUGUGUAACAGCAGAGAUCCCAGCAUCCUGGUCUUUCUGGGGCAUCCACAGGUGGUGCUCAGCCUGAGAGGAGCAUGGUGCCUGUGCUAGGUGUGGGACAGGCCUGCAGUUAAAAUCUGGCUGAUGUUAUGGAUCUCUUAGCCUGACAUCUGCCCUAAAUGUCUUCCUGUGGCCAUGCAGACUAAAGGGGGUGUGGAGGGAGAGAUAAGCAAAAUCUGCAGCAGGCUGCAUGUAGUCUUCAAUUCCAACAGAUCAAAAGCAUCAAAAUUCAGUCAGGAUAAAGGAGGGCUUGGUGAUACUCUUUGAGGGGGAGGGGAACCAUAAAAGGGGAUUAGGAAAGAACUUGUACUUCAGCACACGGCCAAUAUGCAGAGCUUGCUAAGAGUCAUAAAGAUCUGUAAUUAUAUUUGUAUGGAUUAUACUAAUCCAUGAACUUGUAACCCAUGGGACAUGGUCAUGUUGGGCUAGAGAAACACAGAAUUAUCAGACACUGCUUUGUGAUGUGCUAGUACAUGUCUUGGGGCUGGCUUACUGAGUGGAAAGAUCCUACCAGGGUUAAGGUGCUGGCUGAUAGUGCAACUAUUUUUUUUUUAUCGGGAGCAUAGCCUCAAAUGUAUACUUGGGAGGCAGGAAAACCCUACCACCUCUUAAAUUUGCCUUAAGGAACAGAAUAAUCAGACAUAUAUUUGAGUACAAUCCAGGAAAUUACUUGUGUGUUUUCACUUCCUUGCUUGCAUUUACAUAACCAACAGCCCAGCAAUCUUAAAAUUGCAGAUCAUGGCUUGCUUUGCUCACCUCUUGAGAAUAAACUCACCCCAGCUUCAUUCAUUUAACUUCAAUAUUUCUCAUUCUCUGGCUUAACUGGAGCUUCAGGUUCCUGGUCCCCACAAAGAGUGGCUCUGUUCAGGCAGCUCACUGGUGUUUCACUGUCUGAAUCCUAGCUUCCCCUCUUCGCUUUGGCAAUUGCUUAGAUAUCCCUGACAGCAGCCUUUUAAAAUGUUUUAUCUGGCAUUGUUUGCUAAUGCCUCUCCUGUGACAGGAGGAACAUGAUUUCGUAUGCUUAUCCAAGACUUUAAAUGCUGCGGAGAUUAGCGAGGGAUGCAGGUACUCAAACACUCACCUGCAGCCUGUACUCGGAGGAGGCUGUGACCACAUUGGAAUACCUCACAUGCUAUUAAAUAAGACUGAAAGAUAAAUUAUUGACAUCAAGGAAUCAGGGCAUGGAUUAAAUUAACUGACCUCUUCCGUUAAGCUGUUGAGCAUCCUCCGUAUUUCCUGAAACUGGGGGUGUUGGAAGAGCUUGUGGUAUGAACAUCUCACACCUGUAGCACUGAACACUUUAUGCCUACCUGGGGAGUAGCAGUGAGAUUACAACAGUUGAUAAUAUCAGCUCGGUAUCUGGCUGGACUAUGUUUUGUAUUGCAGAGCUUGGCUUCAAUCCAUGUUAGUAAGGCAACCUGGGAAGGCAGUGUUCCUGUGGGUUCUGUGACCAUAACUUGUUGGGGUCUGGAUCUAUUCCAUGUGCUUUCCUUAAAGAUGUACAAAACCAGGCAAGACGGAUGAGUUUUGCUGUGGAGAAACCCACCUUCCAGCGUCUUCCUGAAAAAUGCUUGUAGGAAUCCAGGCUGGGUGGGAAAAAGUGUAAAAUGUACCUUCCUGCUACCAGGGCAGGGAGAUAGCAAUACGCUCAUGGAGAGGCAGCAGGUCUCCCAAAUGCCAUUUGGGAAAAGUUAGAACAGCAGCGAGUGAACUUCUGAACUUCAGUGUUCUUGGAAACUGCUAACCUGAUGUGAAUCUGCUUCCUGGCACGUAAAGAACACUAACCUAAAAAGUGCUUCAGCCUGUAGUGUUGCCAUCUGCUACGGGCUGGAAGCAUCUUCAUAGUGGAUAAUAAAGUAUUUUUUCUCUGCUAGCUUCAUGUGUUCCUCUGGAAAUGUGGAUGGGCCAUCAGUACCUUUCCCAAGUUUCCCAAAGGUCCUUCAUGAAGCCAAAAGGCAGGGGACAAACCUGAUCAAGGACCUGGCUCAACCCCUAGGUGGAGCAAAUUGCUGUUAAUUUAAGAGGUGGUGGGAUGCAAUGUCUUUAGAGGUAUGGAAGGAGGGCAGAGCCAGCUGUACUUGCACUGCAGCACACAUAUCAGACCCAGCACAGGGAUGCAGGCAGACCCCACUUGCCCUGCUUGGCUUAGCAGAACCACUGCUGGACCCAUCUAGUGCUUAAUGGUCUCUAACAGCAACACUUCCUAAUUCAGAGUAUGUGGAUGGAUGGGUAUUGCAAUGGAUACCAGUCCAUGGGUCUCGGUUUGCCCUAAGAUGUUAAAAAAUUAGCUGCCCUGUCAAAUCUUAGCGAUCCUGAAACUAGCAAUUCCCUCAGUUUUAGUCACAGAGUGCAUUUCAACCAGGUGGAAGACUGUGACUGUUCCUCAAUGUUAUCUGUCGUCCACUGACCAGAUUGUUAAGAGAAGUACUGAGACUUCAUUAAGAAGUUGGUGAACUGGAAAUAGGAGAGAAAUAUG